rnacentral:misc_RNA from 1 species
GAAAUGCGAUACGUAGUGUGAAUUGCAGAAUUCCGUGAACCAUCGAAUCUUUGAACGCAUAUUGCGCUCGAGCCUUCGGGCAAGAGCACGCCUGCCUCAGGGUCAUGAGCACCUCACAACACCUACCCCUUUGGGGGUGGAUGGAGUGGACCUGGCAGUCUCACUUAGGCACUCAGCCUAGGUGGGUCUGCUGAAGUGCAGAAGACUAAGCAAGCUGCCGGACCUAGGAUUCAUUCUAGGCCCAAGGCGAGCGCCAGUAGAUGACCCUUGUGGUUGUACUAUCGCGCGUCUAAAGCGGCAUGCUAUGGUCUGAAGCAGGAUACCUUACUCAACAUUUGACCUGAGUUCAGACGAGACUACCCGCCGAACUUAA